rnacentral:rRNA from 1 species
UGAGCAAUCUGCCCUUCUCAUCGGAAUAAGCGUUGGAAACGACGUCUAAUGCCGAAUACGACCUCCUUUCGCAUGAUCGGAGGUGGAAAGCUCCGGCGGUCAAGGAUGGGCUCGCGGCCUAUCAGCUUGUUGGUGAGGUAACGGCUCACCAAGGCUUCGACGGGUAGCCGGCCUGAGAGGGCGACCGGCCACACUGGGACUGAGAUACGGCCCAGACUCCUACGGGAGGNAGCG